rnacentral:rRNA from 1 species
UACGUAGGUGGCAAGCGUUGUCCGGAUUUACUGGGCGUAAAGAGCGCGCAGGCGGUCGUUCAAGUCGCGUGUGAAAGCCCCCGGCUCAACUGGGGAGGGUCACGCGAUACUGAUCGACUGGAAGGCAGGAGAGGGUAGUGGAAUUCCCGGUGUAGCGGUGAAAUGCGUAGAUAUCGAGAGGAACACCUGCGGCGAAGGCGGGUUGCUGGGCUGACACUGACGCUGAGGCGCGAAAGCCAGGGGAGCGAACGGG